UACGUAGGGUGCGAGCGUUGUCCGGAAUUACUGGGUGUAAAGGGUGCGUAGGCGGCCAUUUAAGUCAGCGGUGAAAUUUUGCAGCUUAACUGUAACAGUGCCGUUGAUACUGUUUGGCUAGGAUUUGGUUGUAGUGUGCGGAAUGUGUGGUGUAGCGGUGAAAUGCUUAGAUAUCACACAGAACACCGAUUGCGAAGGCAGCACACUAAGUCAUUAUUGACGCUGAGGCACGAAAGUGUGGGGAUCAAACAGGAUUA
rnacentral:rRNA from 1 species